rnacentral:rRNA from 1 species
GAUGAACGCUGGCGGCGUGCCUAAUACAUGCAAGUCGAGCGAACAGACGAGGAGCUUGCUCCUCUGACGUUAGCGGCGGACGGGUGAGUAACACGUGGAUAACCUACCUAUAAGACUGGGAUAACUUCGGGAAACCGGAGCUAAUACCGGAUAAUAUAUUGAACCGCAUGGUUCAAUAGUGAAAGACGGUUUUGCUGUCACUUAUAGAUGGAUCCGCGCCGCAUUAGCUAGUUGGUAAGGUAACAGCUUACCAAGGCAACGAUGCGUAGCCGACCUGAGAGGGGGGUCGGGCACACCGGAACUGAGACCAGGUCCAGACUCCUACGGGGAGCCGCAGGAGGGAAUCUUCCGGAAUGGGCGAAAGCCUGACGGAGCAACGCCGCGUGAGUGAUGAAGGUCUUCGGAUCGUAAAACUCUGUUAUUAGGGAAGAACAAAUGUGUAAGUAACUAUGCACGUCUUGACGGUACCUAAUCAGAAAGCCACGGCUAACUACGUG